rnacentral:rRNA from 1 species
AUUGAACGCUGGCGGCAGGCCUAACACAUGCAAGUCGAACGAGUGGCGGACGGGUGAUAAGUGUCUGGGAAAUGCCCGGAGGGCGGGGGAUAACUAAGGGAAACGGUACCUAAUACCGCAUACAAUCGGAGUUGCCCAGAUGGGAUUAGCGAGUGGGUGGGGUAAAGGCUCACCUAGGCGCAGAUCCCUAGCGGGUCUGAGAGGAUGACCAGCCACACUGGAACUGAGACACGGGCCAGACUCCUACGGGAGGCAGCAGUGGGGAAUAUUGCACAAUGGGCGCAAGCCUGAUACAGCCAUGCCGCGUGUAUGAAGAAGGCCUUCGGGUUGUAAAGUACUUUCAGCGGGGAGGCGUUACCCGCAGAAGAAGCACCGGCUAACUCCGUGCCAGCAGCCGCGGUAAUAC